ACAACGGAUCUCUUGGUUCUGGCAUCGAUGAAGAACGCAGCGAAAUGCGAUAAGUAAUGUGAAUUGCAGAAUUCAGUGAAUCAUCGAAUCUUUGAACGCACAUUGCGCCCGCCAGUAUUCUGGCGGGCAUGCCUGUUCGAGCGUCAUUUCAACCCUC
rnacentral:rRNA from 1 species